GAACCUGCGGAAGGAUCAUUGUCGA
rnacentral:rRNA from 20 species